CGGGAGCGGGGCGCAGUAACAGAAAUGUGGAAAAAAUGAAUAAAAUGGGUUUGCCAGCUACUAAUCUGCAGAACAAAUAUCCGCAGUGGAUGCUUACCCAAAGCCAAGAGGAAGUUUCGGGUGAUAAAAAGAAGUCUGCUUUUCAGAGGAGUGUUUUGGAAGAUGGGCUGCCAUUCCUAGAGUUCCGUGGCUCUGUUGUAUACAGCUAUGAAGUCAGUGACUGUUCCCUCCUCUCAGAAGAUAUCAGGCAAAGUUUAUCAGAUGGGGCUGCUGUUGGAUUUGAUAUUGAAUGGCCACCAUCAUAUACUAAAGGAAAAAUGGCCAAAAUAGCAGUAAUCCAGAUAUGUGUAUCUGAGGAGAAGUGUUAUUUGUUCCACAUCUCUUCCAUGUCAGGUUUUCCCAAGGGACUCAAAAGACUGCUUGAAGAUGAAACAAUUAAAAAGGUUGGCGUAGGAGUUGAGGGAGAUCAAUGGAAGCUGAUGAGUGACUUUGAAAUCAAACUGAAGAGCUUUGUGGAGCUGGCUGACGUUGCUAAUGAGAAACUGAGGUGUAAGGAGAUCUGGAGUCUAAAUGGUCUGGUAAAACACCUUUUUGGCAAGCAGCUUUUGAAGGAUAAGUCUGUCCGCUGUAGUAACUGGAAGGAGUUUCCACUCAACGAGGAGCAAAAAUUGUAUGCAGCCACAGAUGCCUAUGCUGGUUUUAUCAUUUACAAAAAACUGAACAAUAUGAAUAACAGUGACCAGAAAGUACUUUGUGGAAGAAGAGAUGACAUGGGUGUGAAGGAGCACUUGACUUCACUAGCUGCAGAAAUAACAGAUCUGGCUUCUCGCAUCCCUGACUCUUCUGGGCAACUUGUAAAUGUGCAGAGGGCUGCAGAAAUAAUAGCUGACAUAUCGGAGAAUGUAACUGCCUUAAGAAGCGUGCUGUUUGGUUCAGGUUGUCCUUCUGUACUGGAGAAGAGCUGUGGCACAAGUCCAACAAAUCUUGAAGCAGAGUCAUCAAAUAUUGAAGCACAGGAAGUUGAAAUGCCUCAAUUAGCUAAACAACUUGAAGGUGACUUCAACAUCUGCUCUGAUGCUACCCUUGCUGGCUUCUGGGAGGAAGAUCUUAAAGAAGAAGCAGCAGAGAGAGGCAACACUGUAGAAGAUAGGGCUGCAGCAGCCAGCUCUAAGGACAAAGCGGACAGAGAGGACUUCAUGUCACUAGACAUUACUGAGCAGGAACUUCAGGUCUUGGAAUAUCAGGCUGCAGAAGAAUUCGCCAAGGAAGCUGCAGCUGAGGAGGCGUGCUCCACAGACAAUGAGCAAAAUCUUUCCUAUGUCAUUGAAAGUGAUGAAGAAUUGGAAAUGGAGAUGCUUAAAUCUUUAGAAAAUGUAGAUGAUGCUGAAGGAGCUUUAAGUGGAAGAGAGUCCAAUAAAGCCAGGAGAAGUCCUGACGCAGAAUUGAACAUUUCACCAGAUGGUGAUGGUGAUGAAGAUGUUGAGGAAGAAGAGGAGGAAUGUUUGGAUCCAUUGCUGCCACUACCUAGUGAAAGACACAGCACCUGUCUGAAGACAUGCUUUGGGCAUUCUUCUUUUAAGCCGGUCCAGUGGAAAGUGAUCAAUUCUCUUCUGGAAGACAGAAGAGAUAAUCUCGUCGUCAUGGCAACUGGCUAUGGAAAAAGCUUGUGCUACCAGUUUCCUCCUGUUUACACUGGACUUACAGGAAUUGUCAUCUGUCCUCUUAUCUCCUUGAUGGAGGACCAGGUGCUGCAGUUGACCAUGUCAGGUAUUCCAGCUUGCUUACUUGGUUCAGCUCAGUCGAAAAACAUCAAAGAAUGCAUCAAAGGGGGGCAGUACAGAGUCAUAUAUAUGACUCCAGAGUUUUGUUCAGGGAACUUGGACUUGCUUCAGGAGCUUGAUCAAACUAUUGGUAUUACCCUCAUAGCUGUUGAUGAAGCUCAUUGCAUUUCUGAGUGGGGCCAUGACUUCAGAAAUUCCUUUAGAACGUUAGGCUCACUGAAGAAGGCUCUGCCAUCGGUUCCCAUUGUUGCUUUAACUGCAACCGCAAGUCCGUCGAUUAGGGAGGACAUAGUGAAUUGUCUGAACCUGAAGAAUCCUCAGGUCACGUGUACUAGUUUUGACAGACCUAACCUGUACUUAGAAGUUGGACAACAAAGUGGAAAUAUCCUUAGGGAUUUGAAGCAGUUCCUUAUUAGGAAAGGAAGCAGUUCUGCGUAUGAGUUUGAAGGGCCCACUAUCAUCUACUGCCCUUCCAAAAAAGCCACUGAACAGGUUGUGUCUGAAUUGAUGAAACUCAAUGUGGCCUGUCGUGCAUACCACGCUGGUAUGGGAAUCAAACAAAGGAGAGAGGCCCAUCACCAGUUCAUGAGGGAUGAAAUUCAGUGCGUUGUAGCUACAGUGGCAUUUGGAAUGGGCAUCAAUAAAGCAGAUAUCCGGAUGGUUAUUCAUUACGGUGCCCCUAAGGAAAUGGAAUCCUAUUACCAAGAAAUUGGGAGAGCUGGUCGUGAUGGGCUUCCUGCUGCUUGUCAUGUGUUAUGGACUGCAUCAGACUUGUCUUUCAACAGACAUCUUCUGAGCGAGAUACGCAAUGAAAACUUCCGCUUGUACAAACUGAAGAUGUUGGCAAAAAUAGGGAAGUACCUUGUGUCAAAUAGCUGCAGGAGGAAAAUUAUUCUGUCUCAUUUCGAAGACAAACAACUCCGAAAGGUUUCUUCUGGCAUCAUGGGCACAGAAGAUUGCUGUGAUAACUGCAGGUCCAGGGUGUCUUGUUUUGCAGUCCCCAAUGACUUUGAGGGUGGUUUACAGGACUUUGGGAAGCAAGCGUAUCAGCUGCUCUCUGCAGUGAGCACCCUGGAGGAGAAGUUUGGAACUAGAGUUCCCAUUCUGUUUCUUCGAGGGUCUAGUUCUCAACGCUUGCCAAACAGAUACCGAAGACACCCUCUCUUUGGUAGUGGAAAAGACUGGCCAGAGAACUGGUGGAAAUCGCUCUGCCAACAGUUGAUAAUGGAAGGGUUCCUCAAAGAAGUCUCUAAGUAUAGCAUCUUUGCAACCACAUGCGUGCUUACCCAGAAGGGUAGAAAUUGGCUGUUAAAAGCUGGAUCUGACUCAAAUCCAAGUCUCCUACUGCAGUCCAGUGAAGACCUUAAUCUUCAGAGACCAUCUAGAAGCAGCAAACCUUUACCCGUGCCCUCAACGCAGCGCUCACCAGUUAAGAAAGGAGCAAGGCAGUCUCCAGCGAAGCAGAUGUCUCUGUAUGAUAUGUUUCCAUAUGAGAGAAAAGGUAAAACUUCUCCAGGAAGUGAUAACAUGCUUAACAGUAGUGUUGCAGAGUGCUCGUUGGUCAGAUCUCCUUUGAAGCCUUCAGAACCCGUUGUUUCAUCCCGAGAAAAAGAAUUAGAAACUGCUCUCUAUGGCAAGUUGCUGACUGCUAGACAGAAGAUAGCUAAUGAGAAGGUAAUUCCUCCAGCUGUCUUGGCAACCAAUAAGAUCCUGGUGGAGAUGGCCCGAAUAAGGCCUACGACGAUCGAGAAUGUGAAGAGAAUUGAUGGUGUAUCUGAAGCAAAAUCCACCCUGUUGAUUCCUCUCAUGGCUGAAAUUAAGGACUUCUGCCAAGAAAAUGGUUUGCAGACUGACACAUUCUCUCCGUCUGGGUCUAAAGAUCAGAAAGAAGCAUUUCCCUGGAAGCAUACUAGAGCCCUCUCUCCCUCAGAGCAUGUUACGUAUGUCCUGUUCCAAGAGAAGAAUCUCUCUGUGAGGACUAUCAGUGAGAGCAGAUCUCUGCCUCUUUCUGAGGUUGGCACUCACCUGUGCCAGGCGCUGAAAGCCGGCUACCCUGUCAACCUGGAGCGAGCAGGUUUGACUCCUGAAGUUCACCAGAUGAUUUCUGAUGUUAUCCGUAACCCUCCCAUUGAGUCGGACACCACUAAAAUUCAAGCAAUUAGAAAACUUGUUCCUGCAAAUAUUGAACUGUAUCUCAUCAGGAUGACUAUUGCAUUAUUGGAGAAAGAGGACAGAAAUAAGUCUUGGGAUGGCUCAGGCUUCAAAAGGAUGUUGGUGUGGUCGGAAAGGCAGGAGGAAAAAACAGGAGCAGAUCAAGCAAACAGAGAAGAUGCCACAUGGAGUAAAACAAAGGUCUGCCUCCCUCUCCUGGGAGAGCAAUGCUCAGAGCAGAACCAGAGAGUUCCCCUUGCAAAGUCUUGACCUAGGAAGAAGGCUGCCCCUGUGCAGCCUAGCUGUAAUCUGCUACACAUAGGAAGAGAUCAAAUCAGGUGCCAUGUGAGACUGUCAGCUCAUCUCUACCAUAGUAAGUCCUGGACAUCCAGCCCAAGAAGAUCAGGCACAUGAUGGUCCACUGCUGUAGACCACCACAAUGGCAGCUUAACAGUGGCCUGAGGGGUAAAUGCUUCCUGCUGUAGUUCAGUCCUUCAGGAUGUGGAUGCAAAAGGUCCCCUUUAAAAUCCUGGACUUAGUGUAGCUGGGGCAGUGGAGGAAAAAGCUCAAAUCCCAUGUGCUCCCCAGUCUGAAAACACUUGGAAAUCUGCAUCCUUCAUAGCCACGGAUUCCAUGUUCUGCCCUUGGCUAGCUUCUGUGCCUUGGUAUCUGAUCACCAAUCUGAUAUGGGGAAAAGUAACUCUCUUCCUGCAUAGAAGUCUGAGGUAGCAGAAGAGUUAAGAGUGUGAAAAAGACAGAGGCAAUGCCUGCUGGAAAUGUCUGAGUCUUUCAUGGGUUCCUCUGUUGCUUGAAACUGCUGGGCAUAGAAGUGAUAACAAGAAAAGUGUCAUGCCAUAAGGCUGACUCAUUGGGAAGAAAUCUCAGGAAAUAAGGAGCUCUUUGUUGCUGUUAGAGAAAGGCUGGGCUACCGUCUCCCAAGUUCCAGUUCAGCACCUUGUACGAAUGUACAAAAGGUCACCCUGCACUGGUGGUAAAAAGAAAUUACAAACUCCCAAAUCCUUCUGCUGCUUGCUCUUUUUGUCUUUUCAUGUUUGUCUCUUACAGGAUUUGGGGUUGAUUUUUUUCAACUCUGGCUCAAACAAAUCUUCAAGCCUUGCCAUUUUUCCAAAUUGAUUAUUUCUUGUAUGCGAGUGCUGUUUUGUUUAGACAGUAUCUGUGUCUAAACCAGCCUUUUCCUGGAGUUGACUUCUGGCAGUCCAAUUGCAUGAGCUCAAAUUAUACUUUUUUCCCCUGCUACUGUUAGCUGUUGGAGCUAUUUAACAGGAAUGACAUGCUAUUAGAAAUCAAAUUAAUAUUACACAAAUGAGUAGACUGCAAAUCCAAAACCUAUUCCAAAUAGUCUUUAUUUACUUCUCCUUCAGAAGAUGUGCUGGUUCUAAUAAUUCCUUGUAGCAAACACCUUUUAAAUCUGCUAGUGAAUGUUCUGGGUUUUAACAACCUUACAUUACUGCUGCUUUUAUAGGGUAAUUCAAUCAAUCUGACACCGAAGGAAGGAGCAGAGAAAACCCAUCUGCAAGUGGUGCCUUUGGCUUUGGUAACCAGAUGUUCUUGCUGUAAUAAAGCAUGUAGAAGUGCUGUUAGAGAUGAUCUCAGUAACACCAAAAUGUGUACUUGAUCCAAAAAUCUCAGCUUGCUGUUCCAACCUGUGACUAGCAGGCAUUAUGUAGAAUUUAAUAUCUCUCUGCCCACUAUGCCAUUUUUAACUGACACCUUUGCUGUAAAAACACAUUUGAAAACAGAGUGCUUGAGACAUAAUCGAGUAUUUCAAGUUCUCAGAGCCAUGGGGAUGGAGGAAGUUUUCUUCUUUACUACAACAAAGAGCCAAGUACAAGUUCCACUUCCCUUGUGUUUGAAAUGGAUGUGCUUACUCAAAUUUCAUUGUGGUGAAAUAGAUAAGAAAUAGCAAUCUCAUUAAGCAGAGGUUUACAGACUCAAUUUACUUCCCAAAAAACCCUCCAAAAUGUAGGAUUUGCAUAGAAUCUGGUAUGUGCAGACUUAAGCUUUAAUGCUGAGAUGGAUAUAACAGCCUGCUUUCUUCCUAUUGCAUGGAAAGGCUUUACAGAGCAUGGAUGGUGGCCAGCCAGGUAGUGGAGGAGCAGCAGGAGGCUUCCCAAAGCCCAUCACGCCGGUUUCCCCUAACGAGCCUGCCCUUGAUCCCAAUGAGGAGGAGCUGUCUGCAGACUCUGAGUCCAAGACCUCACAGCCCCCUUUCAAGAGGAAGGUGCCAGAAUGGUUUGGAACUUCAGCAGCGACAGCUCUACCUGUCAACCAAACCAAGAAACACAGAAAAGACACCCAAAAAGGGAUUUUUAGUUGAAUAGAGAAAUUAGGAUGGAUAUUUUUCUAUUAUCAUUUUCUAUAUUAGUUCUCGUCUGUGCUUUGCUUUACAUUGCUACUGCUGCUCGGCGGGUGCGGACAGAGGAAUUACCCCGGGAACGCGUUUAUGCUUUUCACUGUGUGAAAUUUAAUGUUAUUAAAGGAAUAAACAUC